UUACCGCUAACAGGGUACAAAACACAGUGUGAGGUGUGUUUACAAAAACAAUAUACAUACAGACAAAGAGCACAACAACGUCCAACAGUUAUAAAGGAAUUUAUACGCCAAACAAUCAGCCGCCCAACCAUUGAUAGCGGCGCGCUUUGCCGCUAGUUUCACUUCUCGGCUUUCUCAUAUGGACAUUUGUUCGCUCCUUUUGUCACACGCUAUAAUACGAUUCCUUUUUCACAUUCGUUCAAUUUUCGUUAUUUAGGGUGGAAAAUGUGCCACUGACCGUACCACAACAAUUCCGAAUUGUCCCUGCAACUGACGAGUAAUCGCCCCAGCGCUCAUGUAAAGUGGCGAACAAAACGCUCGCAGUCGCAAAAGGUUAUUACACGGGCAGGAAGUGUGUGUGUGAGAAAAACAACCAAAAAUGUAAAUGAAAAGUGAAAAUGACAAAAUUAUGUGUGUGUGGAAAAUUUGUUAACAAAAAGCAAUUAUAAAUAAAUAAUAACUACGAAAUUGUUGCUAACGUGCGUUUUAAUGCUUAAAUCCUGAGCGCCUGCAAACAAUUUCACUUUCCUUCGAGUUUUUAGUUUUUUCACACCGUUAAGCCUAUAUGUGUAGGUUAUAGAAUUAUGACAGUUCGAAAAUUUACAUUAAACAAGUGUGGAGUGUUGGACCAGCAAAAGAGAAACGUAGUAAUGGCGUGUUUACCACGGCUCACCAACUGCCAAUAGCUGGACGAUCGAAAAAUUAAUCAAAAACAUAAACGAGAUUUUGUAAAUAUUAACUGCGUGCUGCGUUUGGGCGUACAGCAACAUAUUUUUCUUCACUCAAACACGCGAGAAUACGCCCAGUUCAAACGAGCCGCUGUUGCGGGCGCUGCCUCCGCAGCAUCUCUUUAGUUGGCUGAAAGCAGGCCAAUUGGUUUGGCAAACAGCAAACGGCAAAGAAAACACACACAUUGCAGCAACAACAGCAAAAACAACAACACACAGUGUUUUACAGUGUGUGGAGAAAAUGCAUUCCGUGAACGUGUACGAAAGUGAGGAUGAGCGACGCCAUGGCCAUGAUGACACACGCGAGCUGCAGAACUUGGAUUGGCCCUUCUUGAUUAAGAUGUUACAGGACUUUCAUGUAACGCUGCUCGGCAAACCAACCGAUUCGGCACUAGCGAUCGUGGCGGGCUUGCUGGGUGCCGUGAUCGGUUCGACAUACCCGGUAGCAUCGAUACUGAUUAGCGCAUUCGCGGGCGCAUUGGUCGCUGGCGCAGCGAUGGCCGUGUGUGUGGCCACAAUGCCAGACAAUGACUUUGGCUAUCGCGAAAUUUAUGUGGCUAUCGCGGGUGGCGCCGUCAUUUGCUCGGUGCUGACGUUCUGCUGCGCCAAAUAUGUGACCAUACUGACUUCGAGCAUCGUUGGCAGCGCGAUGAUUAUUACCGCUAUCGAUUUUUUCAUGCACAACCUAGACACGAUAAAUUGGAUUUUAAAUAUGAAACCGAAUCCGCUGCCACCGCCUUGUUACGGCGGCAUUUUGAUAUGCUCCUGGCCGGUGGCAAUCAUAAUCAGCAUAAUGGUGCAGUGUUUCAUCACGGCCUGGCGUGUGGAUCAUCGCAAGCGCGUCUACCUGCGGCAUCACCACCAAAUGGCACGCUGCGGUGCCGGCGGCUUGCCGACGAAUCGCAUGAGCGGACGACCGCGCGAAACGCGCGAAGAGGCCAGUCAACGCAAAUACCGCUAUCUGUAUCAGGUGCGCACGGCGCGCGGCGACAUUAUUUCACAGAACUUUGUGUCAGCAUUGCAGAAGCGCAUACAACUGGGCGGCACGGAGACGCCCUCAGAGCGCUCGAUUAAGACGAGUUCGAACGAACGCAAUACAUUUCGCAGCGAUCGCACACACUUCACCACCAUACCCGAUUCCGAAAUGUGCGACAAAAUCGAAAUAGUGCGUGAUCUAGGAUAACAAACAAGCAACAGUUAUAUGUAAGCGGCGAAUGUGCGAGGGAAACGGAAACGUAUAAGAGACGCGUAGAGCUUGCUUGUGGUUAUCCUAAGAAUCGCGUAUGUGUGUGCGUGUGCGACGAUCGUUGUGCGUGUAUGUAUAACGGGAAAUUGUUAAAUUGCCAAUACAACAACUACAGCUAAGUGAUAAAAUGCAACGUUGCGUUGGAUGGGCGUGUAAAUAUAACUUGACAAAGCUUAAUUUAAUGAAGUGCAGGGAGGGAGCGAAGGAAGGAGACGAGUGCAUGCGUGGUAAUGCAUGAAAGUGAUAAGAAUGGGAGCGAAAAUGUCCACAGUCAGCAAAG
rnacentral:misc_RNA from 1 species